UUCACCUAGAUCAUCCCUAGCCAAGAGCUAGAAGUCGCAACGCUAUUCAGGACGACCGCACGUGAGAUCUUAUUUUCAUCUAUUCACAGGACGCGAUACUGGAAUUAAAGGACCAUGUCGGGAUUCUCAGUCAAGAUAACAAGUACCAGAACUCCAUGCCAUCUUUUGGAGGGUUUAACUGUUAUAUUCCGCCUCUUUGCGGAAAUAUGAUGGUUUAAACCUUAGUAGUUUAUGUCAUAUUAAUGUAUGAAACAAUAA